UGCCUUGAUAUUUAUUGAUCGAGCUGUACACUGAGCCCAGGCCUAGCCCUUUUAAGGGGCCCUGUGUGGAACAGCGCGGGUUUCCCAGAUCCAAACCUAUCACUCUUCACCAUUCGGUCCUCGAGCUGGUGUGAAGCUUGCGAUGCUAACCAGCAGUGACAGCAGGCCAUCAAGGAGCAGGCCCACGUCACUCAGGUGAUGGGAGUCAGUUAACUGAGUCCAGAUAGAGAGGGAUGAAUAUGAGAACAUCUAAAAGGAGAGAGGGCCAUGUGGCGGCAGAGGACGAGGGAGAUGUCAGAGCAGCAGGGCCCUUGGAGGCGGAGGCCGAGCACCUGCGGAAGGAGCUGGAGAAUCUGGUAGGGCCGCUCUAAGCUCAGGUGCAAGUCAGUAAGGGAUUAGUCGCCUGAACCCCGAGCCGGAGGAGAGUCUGCGGGAGCCGGAGCAGGAG